UACGUAGGGUGCGAGCGUUAAUCGGAAUUACUGGGCGUAAAGCGUGCGCAGGCGGCUUUGCAAGACAGAUGUGAAAUCCCCGGGCUCAACCUGGGAACUGCAUUUGUGACUGCAAGGCUAGAGUACGGCAGAGGGGGAUGGAAUUCCGCGUGUAGCAGUGAAAUGCGUAGAUAUGCGGAGGUACACCAAUGGCGAAGGCAAUCCCCUGGGCCUGUACUGACGCUCAUGCACGAAAGCGUGGGGAGCAAACAGG
rnacentral:rRNA from 1 species